rnacentral:lncRNA from 10 species
CAGGGAGUGGGCUGAGGCUCUACGGAGAGGCCCCUUCCUAUCCCAGACCCAGAGAGAGGCCUCAGUUCCUGCACCAAGGGCUGGGAAUGGAGUUUAGUUGCAGGGUCAGCUCACAGUAUCUCAGAAGGAAGAUGAUCUAGAAGGAAAAUAAAUUCCUUCCUUGCAGGGUUAUUUGUUUGUGUGCAUUAAAUGGGACUGUGGACCUACGUGUGCUUCAUGAUGGGAUAAACAUCUGGUGGGACAGAAUUGUUUUUGUCAUCAAAAGCAGCUGCCUGUCCUGAACACCUAUGAUGCCAGUGCUGUGUGAGGCACUCAAGGAGACCAACUGGUGGGACCUUCUCCAUCUUUGUCCCCACAGAGCUGACAGCCUAGGUGGGGAGAAGAGCCCAUCAAGAGAUGUGAAUAUUUAAUGUACCAACGUUCCAAGUCCAGACAGCCAUGGGAUACAGGCUACAGGGCAAGGUGAACAGAACCACCAGAACCUUCAGCAGCCUGACCCCAAGCCCUCAACCUCACUGAGAUGACUGCUGACCAAACCCUAACAGGGUUCUGCAACACGUGAUACUUCAACCAAGACCCAGCCUGCCUGCCUGGCCCUGCCCUGAGCUCCUCUGGAAGGAAGUGUCGAUGCAGAUCACCUGAGACACACAGUGGUGUGUGGGCACACAGGUGGAAGGAGCCCAGAGGCUGAAGGCCCAGAUGUACAUGCACAGUUUGAAAAGCACAUGAUGAGCCAAUUUGGGAAGAAGCUUAAAGGAGAGUGACCCGAACAAGGAGGGAACUGUGACCUGAGUCCAGGAGAAGUGGCUAGAAGAACUGGGGGUGAUUGUUGCUAAGAGGAAGGGUUCCAGGGGCAGGCAUUCAGCUGUCUUCAUAUGUCUGAAGGCAAAUCUGUAAGACGUAUAUCAAACUAAGUUCUACUACUUAACCAAUAGCGUGUCCCCCGUUGAUAAACAUAAAACUCCUUGAUGUCCUGGGGAUUCUGGUACCUGUCCUCUGAAAGGGCACAAGUGGCUCUGACCUCUGGGUAUCCCAUCAGCCAAGAUGUCAUCAAGCUGUUGUUUG